rnacentral:tRNA from 1 species
CCUGGUGGCUCAGAUGGUAAAGCGUCUGCCUGCAAUGCGGGAGACCCAGGUUAGAUCCCUGGGUCAGGA